AUAUACUAAUCCUUUUAUUUUGUUUUUUUGCAUAUCACUUAUUCCUAGUUAUCAAGGUUUUAAACCUCAACACCAAGUUAUUAAAACAGUUAUUUCUCAAUUCUUUUAAACUUAUAUUAAAAAGUAUAAUAUUUUCCAUUAAAAUAUUCCCAAUUUAAGAAAGGAGUGCAAUGGAAUUAUUUUUUAGCUUAUUAAUAAUGAGAGAAAAUGCUUUGUAUUUCCUUAAUUACUUGAGAGUGAAGCCUUGGGCUUGGCCAUGAGGGUAAUGUACAAAGGCAAUCAAGGGAGGGACUUAUGGCAACAAUGAUGAAAAUGUAAAUAGCAGACAUUUGGCGAAGAGGAACCUGCAUCUGACAGGCUGACUUGAACAUAUUCAUCAGUUUCAACAACACCUGCCACAAGCAAUGAACAUUAUCCUAUUAAUGUGAUGGCAACCUUGGUGGUGCCAUCUCAGAUCAAGUCAGCCAUUCCCGGUACAGUUGCAUGGAAUUUACAUUGCCUGAGGACAGAUAAUGUCAGAUUUAUUUCUACAACUCCAGAUCCUGAAUAGUGUCUGGCAAAUAUAAGGAACCCAGUAAGUGGCUAGUA